GGGGUUGUGGCUCAGUAGUAGAGCACUUGCCUUGUAGGUAUGAGGCACUGGGUUUGAUUCUCAGCCCA
rnacentral:tRNA from 1 species